GGAAAUCACGCGUAGAGUAUAAAGGCAAAAGCGCGCUUAACUGCGAGACCCACAAGUCGAGCAGGUACGAAAGUAGGUCUUAGUGAUCCGGUGGUUCUGUAUGGAAGGGCCAUCGCUCAACGGAUAAAAGGUACUCUGGGGAUAACAGGCUGAUACCGCCCAAGAGUUCAUAUCGACGGCGGUGUUUGGCACCUCGAUGUCGGCUCAUCUCAUCCUGGGGCUGAAGCAGGUCCCAAGGGUAUGGCUGUUCGCCAUUUAAAGAGGUACGCGAGCUGGGUUUAGAACGUCGUGAGACAGUUCGGUCCCUAUCUACCGUGGGCGCUGGAAAUUUGAGAGGAUCUGCUCCUAGUACGAGAGGACCAGAGUGGACGAACCUCUGGUGUACCGGUUGUGACGCCAGUCGCAUCGCCGGGUAGCUAUGUUCGGAAGGGAUAACCGCUGAAAGCAUCUAAGCGGGAAGCCUACCUCAAGAUAAGAUUUCCCUAGGACUUUAUGUCCUCUAAAGAGCCGUUCGAGACUAGGACGUUGAUAGGUUGGAUGUGGAAGCAUAGUGAUAUGUGAAGCUGACCAAUACUAAUUGCUCGUGAGGCUUGACUAU
rnacentral:rRNA from 1 species